rnacentral:lncRNA from 1 species
AUUGAUUGGAAUUGAUUGAGACUGAAUUAUGGAUUAGUAAAUGGCGUGGUUAAAUUCUGCAAUUGAGUGUUAAAUUAUGCAAAUCGAGUGCUGAUUGGAUUCUUGGUAUUUAAUUCCAAAAUUUGUGGAUUUUGAUAUUUAUUCAGAAAAUCCCAGGUGUCGGGUUUUGACACCAAAAAUAGUUUUUAGUACUAUAUGAAAUAGUGGGAUUUCAAAAAGGAUGAAUAUCAAUUUUUCUGGAUCAAGUUGACCGUGUACCCACGCACGAGUAAUUUCAGGUGAAUUUUUAAUACGAAGAAAAAGGCCAGGCUCACCAUUUUAAUUGAAGCAUUUGAGUGCAAUGCACGGUGCCCUGGG